GAGGGCAUAGCUCAGUGGUAGAGUGCUUGCUUAGCAUGCACAAGGUCCUGGGUUCAAUCCCCAGUCCCUCCA
rnacentral:tRNA from 1 species